GUUAUACACAAUUAUGUGUUAGUGUUAUACACAGUUAUUUAUCAUUUUCUAUUAAUUCAGUUGUAGCCACUACAAUAUCUAUGACACUGGUAGUAAUUAUAAGAACAACAAUGAUGUUCUAUAAGAGGAAAUGAUGAUUAGGAACAAAAACUUACAGAAGAUAUCAUGCGGUGGAUGGAUAAUAUGCAAAAAAUAUUAAGCAGUAUAUGAAUUUUCCUAUUGCGUAGAGAUAACAAAAUGAAUUUUAAAAAAUGUCGACACGGUAAUAAGAAAUAGCAUCAUGACAAAGAAUAUAUAAAGACAGUUUCAUUUUUUAUAAAUAAAAAUUUGUUGUUCCAGAUUUUGAAA